GGCCACGUGGCGGAGUGGUUACGUAGCGGACUGCAAAUCCGCGUACCCCAGUUCAAUUCUGGGCGUGGCCUCCA
rnacentral:tRNA from 1 species